rnacentral:rRNA from 1 species
GACGAACGCUGGCGGCGUGCUUAACACAUGCAAGUCGAACGGAGUGGCGAACGGGUGAGUAACACGUGGGUGAACUGCCUUGCACUUCGGGAUAAGCUUGGGAAACUGGGUCUAAUACCGGAUAGUGCAAGAUGAGCUCGCGGCCUAUCAGCUUGUUGGUGGGGUAAUGGCCUACCAAGGGGUCGACGGGUAGCCGGCCUGGGAGGGUGUACGGCCACAUUGGGACUGGGAUACGGGCCAUACGCCUACGGGAGGCAGCAGUGGAGAAUAUUGCACAAUGGGCGGAAGCAUGAUGGAGGGACGCCGCGUGGGGGAUGAAGGCCGUCGGGUUAUAAACUCCUUUCGACAGGGACGCGGUACCUGUAUAAGAAGCACCGGCUAACUACGUGCCAGCCGCCGCGGUAAUAC